UAGGGGACUUCAGUGGAGUCUGCUUCAAUGCGGGCUUCGCCGAAGGAGGCACUAGCGAAUAAACUUCUGCGCUCUAAAAAAAGACAUCUGGGACAUCCUACAGACUCGUAGACUUGGCGAGCACGCGCAAUUUAAGUGCACGAGACCGCACGUCAACAUGAAAUGCGCCAUUUGGGACUGGGCCGUCGCCGUUUUGUAAUAGCGGAACGCAGGAAAGGAGUCCAGAUGCUAGUUUCUUUAAUGGAUGUUAAUGUGUUGUGUAGCCGUGGUUUCUCCAGUUGGAAGUAUUACAGUACCCUUCCAUCCAACUAUAAUAAGAGUAUAUCUGGCUGAAGUUUGUUUCACUCCAGCGGAUAACAGUGAGGUGAAAGUUGGUGCCCGGAUUCAAAGGGGUGUAUGGACUGAGUUUAAUCAUGAAACAUCCCUGCUUUAUGUUUUUAGGAUUUUCAGCCUCAAGCCUACUACUUAAAUUAUGUAUUUGGGCUGUGUGAAGUCUUCAAUCCCAGCAAGCAAUUUCGCGGCUAGGACGGAAGACGUGCAAUUGGGCCGGUUUCUAUUUGCGAUGGCUGCAGAAAAAGGGAAAAUUCUGGAGGACAUUAUGAUCCGCGCUCACCAAGCUGAUGAUAGUUCCUUCUCUACUGACUUUCUUUUACUGAAAAGCCAUUUCAUUUAAGACAGGUUAGGUAAGUUUGUGGCCAUAACGAAUAAUGUUGUUUUCGCCAACCACGGUGAAGUGAGUGAAAGGCUUCUUGUGAAGGACUAUAGAGCCCUUUGAAAGACAUAUCUGUCUACAUCAGGGCUCCUCAAAUCUUACCCUGGAGGGCCGGAGCACUGCAGAGUUUUGCUCCAGCCCUGAUCAAACACACCUGAGCAAGCUAAUCAAGCUGUUCAGUAUCGCUAGAAAAUCACAGGUGUGCAAGUUUGAUCAGGGUUGGAUCUAAACUCUGCAGUGCUCCGGCCCUCCAGGGUAAGAUUUGAAUAGCCCUGGUCUACAUGAUCCAAUUUUACUUUGCAACUGGAUUAUUUUUUAGAGUGUACUAAGUAAAUUUCACAAAAAUAAACAGCUAUAUUAAUUUAUUAAAAUCUUUUAAAAUCAUUUAAGUGUUUUUUUUAGUUGGACAUAUUUAAAAAAAUCCUUUAAAAAUCCAAGUUAUUUUUUCUAAAAUGUACAUAUAUUAUUUAAGUUUUUUAAUGAAAAUAAAUGAGUAUUUAACUAACAAAUUAUAUUUUUAAUAUACCAUUUAAUAUUUAGGUGAAAUAUAAUAUAUAUAUUUGAAGAUCAUUUACUUGUACUGAUCAGUUUUCAAAUCUAAAUAUAUUAAGUAAAUCCUAUAAAUUGUCUUAUUGAUUUAACAUCAACAAAUAAAAUUGAGUAACAUUCGCGGCUAAAGUGAUCACGUGUGCACCACGUCUGCGUGCUUUCCUGAGCAACAAGUCUACCCAUCUGCUCUCAGCGCCUCAGAAAUCUUGGUAAGUAACAAUUAGUCCGCUUACUUUAAUUAUACGUAUGUUUGUAGUACUUUAUCAAAUAGUUUAAUAUUAAGAAAUUACUAUUAACGGUUUUUGUAUUUUACUUCAGCUAAGGAACAUCGACUAACCUCCACUUCGCGGCUAAGCGGGAGCAAGCUGAAAGAGUGGAGUCUCCAUUCACCGAAAAAGUGAAGUUGUCAUUCGAUGCCUCAUUGACUAUCUGGGAGAAGAUGCAUGUGGCUUAAUAAAGGAAUUUGUGGAUUCUGCUGAUCAUACCGUCAGUGUGGAAGAGCAGUUGCCAGAGGAGGCUAUUAAAAUCUACAUCCUGCAGAGCAAUGGGGCGGUCACCGAUGUAGGAAAAGUGAUUAAGGGCAUCACUGUCCUCAAAAAUCUUGCCAAUCUCAUCAGAGCUUGCUGCUAUCUUUUGGUUCUCAAUUACUCUCUGGAUCUGAGAUAUCCCGAGACUUACAGAUACUCAUUUGAACUUAAGUGUUCCAAAAACUUCUUCUUAAAAUGGAUCCAGCAAAACUGUAUGUUAAGGUUCAGAGACUAAAAAAAACAGCUGCUUCGAUAGACUAUUCAAGAUCAUCCCACAAAAUGGGUACCUGUUUGAAAGUUUUUCUUAUUGAUUGUCUCCAAGUGAUAGUUCUUGAUCUUGAACAGCUCUACUAUUCAAGAUCAUCGCAAAGAAUGGGUAUUCCGGUUGAAAUGUUUUUAGAUUGAUUGUCUUCAAGGGAUAGUUUGCUCAAAAAUGUAAAUGUUUUCAUAAGACACUCACUCUUAAAUUGUUCCAAACCUGAACAUGUUUCUUCUGUUGAACACGAAGGAGAAUAUUUUGAAUAUUUUGAUUCUGAAUUAUACAGGUUUGGAACAACUUGAGGAUGAGUACAUAAUGACAACAUUUUCAUUUUUGGUUGAACUAUCCCUUUAAUGUUGAAUCUAAUGUGGCAGUUACAAUUGCAUUUAUUAAUUUAUUGCUUUAAAGGUGGGUGAUGUGGUUGGUAUUCACCAGUAAGGUUUAGUCUUUAAGGCUAUUUUACAUGCAAAAUACUUCAAUGUUAUGAUGAUUUUUAGAAUGAUUUCACAUUGUCAAAUGUUUAAUUCACAAAUACAUGUUGUAAUUUAAAUAAUGUGUACACAGGUGCUUUCUUUAUAACUUGGUUUUAUUAUUAAUUGUAAAGUACUCUUGGAGUAAAGGUUAAUGUAUACAAUGUAAACAAGUAAAUGCAACACUUUGAUAAUUGAUAGUCCAAUAUUACAUUAAAUGCACAUUUAGUAAAUAGUGAAAAUUUUAUGU